rnacentral:rRNA from 1 species
UGCAGUCGAGCGAAGUGACUCUGAGAGAAAUUUUCGGAUGGAUCGAAGAGUCAUCUUAGCGGCGGACGGGUGAGUAACGCGUGAGAAACCUGCCUUUCACAAAGGGAUAGCCUCGGGAAACUGGGAUUAAUACCUUAUGAAACUGAAUUACCGCAUGGUAGAUCAGUCAAAGCGAAUAAGCGGUGAAAGAUGGUCUCGCGUCCUAUUAGCUAGUUGGUGAGGUAACGGCUCACCAAGGCUUCGAUAGGUAGCCGGCCUGAGAGGGUGAACGGCCACACUGGAACUGAGACACGGUCCAGACUCCUACGGGAGGCAGCAGUGGGGAAUAUUGCACAAUGGAGGAAACUCUGAUGCAGCGACGCCGCGUGAAUGAUGAAGGCCUUCGGGUUGUAAAGUUCUGUCCUUGGGGAAGAUAAUGACGGUACCCAAGGAGGAAGCCCCGGCUAACUACGUGCCAGCAGCCGCGGUAAUACGUAGGGGGCGAGCGUUGUCCGGAAUUAUUGGGCGUAAAGGGUUCGCAGGCGGUCUGAUAAGUCAGAUGUGAAAGGCGUAGGCUCAACCUACGUAAGCAUUUGAAACUGUCAGACUUGAGUUAAGGAGAGGAAAGUGGAAUUCCUAGUGUAGCGGUGAAAUGCGUA